rnacentral:rRNA from 1 species
GCUAGUAAUGGCAGGUCAGCAUACUGCCGUGAAUACGUUCCCGGGCCUUGUACACACCGCCCGUCACACCAUGAGAGUUGGGAAUACCCGAAGCCUGUGAGCUAACGUAAGAGGCAGCAGUCGAAGGUAGAAUCAAUGAUUGGGGUGAAGUCGUAACAAGGUAGC